rnacentral:rRNA from 1 species
GAUGAACGCUAGCUACAGGCUUAACACAUGCAAGUCGAGGGACCGGCGCACGGGUGAGUAACACGUAUCCAACCUGCCCUUUACUCGGGGAUAGCCUUUCGAAAGAAAGAUUAAUACCCGAUGUAAAGGAUGGGGAUGCGUUACAUUAGGUUGUUGGUGAGGUAACGGCUCACCAAGCCUUCCAUGGAUAGGGGUUCUGAGAGGAAGCUCCCCCGCAUUGGAACUGAGACACGGACCCCACUCCUACGCGAGGCAGCAGUGAGGAGUAUUGGUCAAUGGGCGUUAGCCUGAACCAGCCAAGUAGCGUGAAGGAUGAAGGCUUAUGGAUCUUAAACUUCUUUUAUAUAAGAAUAUGUAUUAUAUGAAUAAGGAUCGGCUAACUCCGUGCCAGCCGCCGCGGUAAUUC